CUUCAGUAUGUGGAUAAAGGGAAGACGCCCUUGAUCUUGUUUUGUGCUGCUGUUGGUGGAGACUCAGGCCUGCACAGAUCGUGUAGGCAUAUGUGAGAAAGCUAAUAGGAAGACUGCUAGCAUCCAGAUCUAAUAGGCCAAAAGGACAACUUCUGUUAAUAAAUGGGAGGAAAGAAGAUGAAGUUGCAAGGAGCUUGGAAAGGGUGUUGCUUGCAAUGCGAAUAAGCACCUCAGAGCCUAAGGUUUUGAAGAAUGCUUUCAAAAAGAUGCACAUCUAUGUUCAUCAGAAGUACGAUUAUUCGUA